GAUGAACGCUGGCGGCGUGCCUAAUACAUGCAAGUCGAGCGAACAGAUGAGGAGCUUGCUCCUCUGACGUUAGCGGCGGACGGGUGAGUAACACGUGGAUAACCUACCUAUAAGACUGGGAUAACUUCGGGAAACCGGAGCUAAUACCGGAUAAUAUAUUGAACCGCAUGGUUCAAUAGUGAAAGACGGUUUUGCUGUCACUUAUAGAUGGAUCCGCGCCGCAUUAGCUAGUUGGUAAGGUAACGGCUUACCAAGGCAACGAUGCGUAGCCGACCUGAGAGGGUGACCGCCCCAACUGGAAGUAGGACCAGGCCCAGCUCCCUAGGGGGGGCGGAAGGAGGGAAUUUUCCGAAAGGGGGGAAAGCUUAACGGAGCACCGCGGGGUGGGGAAGGAAGUCCUUGGGAUGGAAAAAUUCUUUUUUUGGGGAAAAAAAAAUGUGAAAGAAAUUAUGCACGUUUUGACGGUACCUAAGCAAAAAGCCACGGCUAACUACG
rnacentral:rRNA from 1 species